rnacentral:rRNA from 1 species
CAAUAGCGUAUAUUAAAGUUGUUGCGGUUAAAAGCUCGUAGUUGGAUUUCUGCUGAGGACGACCGGUCCGCCCUCCGGGUGAGCAUCUGGUUCGGCCUUGGCAUCUUCUUGGUGAACGUAUCUGCACUUGACUGUGUGGUGCGGUACCCAGGACUUUUACUUUGAGGAAAUUAGAGUGUUUCAAGCAGGCAUACGCCUUGAAUACAUUAGCAUGGAAUAAUAAGAUAGGACCUCGGUUCUAUUUUGUUGGUUUCUAGAGCUGAGGUAAUGAUUAAUAGGGAUAGUUGGGGGCAUUCGUAUUUAACUGUCAGAGGUGAAAUUCUUGGAUUUGUUAAGACGGACGUACUGCGAAGACAUUUGUCCACGGAAGUGUUUUCUAUUGUAUCAAGAACGAAAGUUAAGGGGUAGUCGAAG